GAUGAACGCUAGCUACAGGCUUAACACAUGCAAGUCGAGGGGUCUCAAAGGAGCUUGCUUCAGCGAGACGACCGGCGCACGGGUGAGUAACGCGUAUCCAACCUGCCCUUCAUAUUGGGAUAGCCUUCCGAAAGGGAGAUUAAUACCGAAUAACAUGAGAAGAUUGCAUGAACCUCUCAUGAAAGCUCCGGCGAUGAAGGAUGGGGAUGCGUUCCAUUAGGUAGUAGGCGGGGUAACGGCCCACCUAGCCGACGAUGGAUAGGGGUUCUGAGAGGAAGGUCCCCCACACUGGAACUGAGACACGGUCCAGACUCCUACGGGAGGCAGCAGUGAGGAAUAUUGGUCAAUGGGCGCAAGCCUGAACCAGCCAAGUAGCGUGAAGGAUGAAGGUUCCUAUGGAUUGUAAAACUUCUUUUAUACGGGAAUAAAACCUCCCACGUGUGGGAGCUUGUAUGUACCGUAUGAAUAAGCAUCGGCUAACUCCGUGCCAGCAGCC
rnacentral:rRNA from 1 species